UAUUUUGGCUCGGUACUAAGUUAAUUAUAUAAUCGCAAAUUAUGGAACCAGACAGUUAACCAGUUUUGAAAUUUUAUAAGUUGGGAAACCAAGCAUAAGAGAUUUAUCAACGUGGGACUAAGAAAGUGCCAGCAGUCGCGGUCAUACUUUUUCACGAAGUUAACUAAGCCAGGGAGAUAUACAUCAAAAGCAAAAUAAUUUCUGUAGUGAAAUACAUAAACAAUAUAGACCACCCUAUUGAUCAAUUAUAAACAUCACAUGGAAACAGGGAUUAGAUACCCCUUUAUUAGGUGUCAAUUAUCAUCUCUCGGGGCAUUAAAGUAUUUUACACGCCUAAACCCAAAAGUCAUGGCGGUAACUUUAAUAUUUAGGGGAACUUAUCUAAUAAAUGAUAACCAUCAAGUAUCACUACUUUAGAUUAAAUUUUGUAUGCCGUCGUCGUCAGAUGUAGUAAAAUACUAUAUCGAAAUAAAUUCCUUAAAAAAGACAGAUCAAGGUGCAGACUAUUCUAAAGAUAAGACGAGUUACAAUAGUAUUUACCUUCAAACGUUGUAUUAAAUACAACCACAGGCGGACUUAAAAGUAAAUUAAAUUAUAGAUAAUUAUUGAAUACUGCUAAAGUUGUGCACAAAUCGCCCGUCACUCUCGAAGGUAUUUGAGAUAAGUCGUAACAUAGUAGGGGUAGCGGAAGCUGCCCCU
rnacentral:rRNA from 1 species